GUCUAUGGCCAUGCCACCCUGAAUAAGCCUGAUGUCUGAUCUUGGAAGCUAAGCAAGGUUGGGCCUGGUUAGUACUUGGGUGGGAGACCACCUAGGAAAACCAGGUACUAUAGGCA
rnacentral:rRNA from 1 species